GACGGGGGGGCAAGUGUUCUUCGGAAUGACUGGGCGUAAAGGGCACGUAGGCGGUGAAUCGGGUUGAAAGUGAAAGUCGCCAAAAAGUGGCGGAAUGCUCUCGAAACCAAUUCACUUGAGUGAGACAGAGGAGAGUGGAAUUCGUGUGUAGGGGUGAAAUCCGUAAAUAUACGAAGGAACGCCAAAAGCGAAGGACAGCUCUCUGGGGCUCCUCACCCGAGGCGUGGGGAUGGCGAAAGCCAUGGGGAGCG
rnacentral:rRNA from 1 species